CCUCGGCCGGCGCGGACCCCUGGUUGCCCCGGGGUCGAGAGCAGCCGGGGAGAGCUGAGUUCAGAGCCCAGAGUUGGACAUCAGGCCACACGCUGAGAGGGUAGUAAAUGAAAGGGAGUCCGGUUUAGUCGCGGGCAGGGCAUCUCCUCUUCUGCUUGUCUAAAAGUCGCUGGGUGCAGGGGAAGCAAUACUAAGCGGGAAUUUCUUUUUAGUGGCAUCUACACAAUUUGCCUUUCCUGGUUUUUGUUUUGUUUUGUUUUGUUUCCUAAGGAGGGGGAGGCUCUGUAGAGGAAGCUUCGGCCCUGGGUGCCCCUGGGUUGGGAGCAGUCGGGGAGCGCUGAGCCAGGGCGCACGCCCUGUCGGCGCUGCGGGUGUGGGGCGCAGGAGUCCUUCUGGCCGGCCCCUCCGCCCCCCGGGGAGGCUGGAGCUCUCCAAGGCCGGGGAGCCUCCCGAAGCGCGCUGCCCCCUCUGUUCUCCGCGUGCUUUCACUAGGGCCCCAUGCUGCUUAGUGGCCGAUUUGCAGGGAAUCUGGGCACAAUCUUAAUAACACCAGGGCCAAAAAUAACAACGUUCCUGGGAACCGAGCAGCUGGAGCGCACCCCAUGGACGCUGGGCCAUCUCCCCGGGGACUAGUGCCUGACAGAGCUGACAGAGUUCUAGGCCACAUGUGGGCUAGAAGGAACCGCCAUGUCUACCACAGCACAGUCCUUAAGCAGGAGCCUUUUGAAGCACUUGGACUCAAAACAAUGGCUGUUUGUUGUUGUUGUUGUUGUUGUUUGUUUGUUUUGAGGGAGCCAGAAAGCUAAAAAAUGUAAAAGAAGCAGGUCACAUUAGACAUGAUUUCAGACAGCCUCCCCGAAGGACAGAUGAUCUCACUUGGCAACACAUACUGGGCCAGGCUCACUCAUGAGGGGGCAGCGUGGCAUGCACCCCACUCAGGGGCAAGAAUGAAGCUUAAAUAUUAGCUGACUCAGAACAUAGCAAGUGCUCAGUAAUGGCUUCUGGAACGAACCCGUGGUUGUCACCAGCAGGAGUGACGAAAGCUAGAAGCCGUUUCACCAUCCAAGGAAGAGGAGGAACAAUAUUUUUCUCUUUGGAGUUCCCACACUCAGAAGAGAGAACACCAGCAUAUGAACACAGAGUGUCACAUGAUGUAGGAAACAUCCUAUCCAGUCAUUGUGAAGAAACGGAGGCACGGGGAGAUUAAGAGAGCUACUUAAGAAGACACGGUGCCAGGUUUCUACCCAAGCCAUUUGGAUCUAGGGUCUGGAGGCCAUGUGAGCCAUUUUGCAUUAGAUUAACGCUUUAAUUCAGUUCACAGUUAGACAAUAUACGUUCCCCAUCUAUAUCUAUACCCAUCUGGAAGGCAACAAAAAGAUAAUAAACUGAUAGUGUCAUGUGCCCAUGACCCAGCUAACAAAGAGGCUCUGGGUUCCAAUGCCCCAGUCUUUCAUGGGAUUCCAUCGACCUCAUGCCCUGCUCCCCUCCCCAACAGAGAUGGAAACAUUAUCCUGAAUUUUGUGUUUAUCAUCCCUUGUUUCUCUCUAUAGUUUUUCCACUUAUGGUUGUAUGAUUUUUGUUUGUUUGUUUUUUGAGACGGCAUCUCGCUCUGUCACCAGGCUGGAGUGCAGUGGCGUGAUCUCGGCUCUACCUCCCAGGUUCAAGCCAUCCUCCUGCCUCAUCCUCCCGAGUAGCUGGGACUACAGGCACACGCCACCAUGCCCAGCUAAUUUUUGUAUUUUUAGUAGAGACGGGGUUUCACCUUAUGGUUGUAUCUUUAAACAAUGUCUUGUUUAGUUUUGCCAUGUUUUUGGACUGUGAAUAAGUAGAAUUAUUAUGCUGUGUGAAUUCUUCUGCUACUUGCAUUUUUGCUGCAACGUCAUGUUCCUGAAAUUCAGCCAGGAUUCAUUUAUUCCUUUUCACUGCUGUGUGAUAUCCCAUUGUAGGCAAAUAGUACACAAUAUUUAUUUAUUUUCCAGAUGGGAUCUCAUUCUGUCACCCAGGCUUGUAGUGCAGUGACCCCAUCACGAUUCACUGCAGCCUUGAACUCCUGGGCUCAAGCAAUCCUCCUGCCUCAGCCUCCUGAGUUGCUAAGGCCACAAAUAUUUAUCCAUUUUACUGCUAAUGCAAUUUGAGCUGUUUUCAACUUUUUCCUAUUAAAACAUUAUUGCUAUGAACAUUCUUAUAAAAGCUUCCCAGUGCACGUGUGUGAGAUCUUUCUAGUGUGUAUGCUAGCAGGAGAAUUACUGAGUUUUACCGUACAUGUAUCUUCAAUCUUAUUAGAUAACACUGACUUGUUUUUGAAAUUGGCUCUUCCAAUUUACACUGUCAACAGCAGGGUUAUGUGGUUGCCCUGCAAGUUCAACAACAUUUGGUAUUGUCAGACUUUAAUAUUUUUGUCAAUCUGGUUGGUAUAAAAUGGUAUGGUGUGGUGCUUUUUAUUUGCAUUUCCAUGAUUACUAAUGAGGUUGAGCAUCUUUUCACAUGUUUAUGGGCCAUUUACUUUUCCUCUUCUAUGAAAUUACUAUUCAAGCCCUUUGCCCAUUUUUCUGUUAUGUUGUUUGUCUUUUUCUUAUCGAGGUGGAGGAGUUCUCUGCAGUCUGAAUACGAAUCAUUUUUCAGUUAUGUGCAUUGAAAAUAUCUCCUCCCAGUGUGUAGUUCUUUACACUUUUUAAAAUGGUAUCUUUUAACGAACUAAUAUGGGUUUUAAUGUGUCAAAUAUGUUGAUCAUUUUCUUUAUGGUUUGUGUUUCUUUUGUCUUAAGGAGUCCACUUCUACCCUGAGCUUAUACAAUUUUUUCUGUAUUAUAUUUAUUUUAUAGGGUUU
rnacentral:lncRNA from 1 species